UACAGAGGGUGCGAGCGUUAAUCGGAAUUACUGGGCGUAAAGCGUGCGCAGGCGGUGAUGUAAGACAGGUGUGAAAUCCCCGGGCUUAACCUGGGAACUGCAUUUGUGACUGCAUCGCUGGAGUGCGGCAGAGGGGGAUGGAAUUCCGCGUGUAGCAGUGAAAUGCGUAGAGAUGUGGAGGAACACCGAUGGCGAAGGCAGCCCCCUGGGUUAACACUGACGCUCAGGCACAAAAGCGUGGGGAGCAAACAGG
rnacentral:rRNA from 1 species